GAAAAUUGGUGGAUUUCAAGUAAUCAAGCAAUCAAAGGUGGUGAGUCCUCCGAUAAGGGCAAGGAAAUUGUACCCGAGGAUCGAUAGUCGAAGUACUAUAGAAAUUUGACUCCUGAAAUAUGGGCUAAGUUCUGUGGACUAGCUUAUUAUAGGGGCAUGGAAUCCUAACAUAUUUUACCUCGGUUGGAGAGGCGAGUAGGGUAACUCCCGAGGCUCAGAAUAGACUGUAGAUAGCUGAUCGCAUCGAGGACUACCAUGGGAAUUGCAUUUUCCAAACUGUAGGUUCAUAGUCCUUUUUACUUUUGAAUAUUCGGGGGACCCACUUGUUACUAUAAAUUAAAUUUCAUACUCUAGUUAUCUGUACUACUGUAUAUAGGAAUUUAUUUUGCUUUUACGCUAUA